GACUUUUCUGAAGACAAUGAGCUAUCUCAGUUAAUUCAAUCAGUUACAGAUCAAACUCCGUGUUCUACUGUGUUCCCCAUUCUCACUACUGCACUUGAAUAGCACUUAA
ensembl:misc_RNA Y_RNA Y RNA